rnacentral:sRNA from 23 species
UCACAAAUUAGUGAGGGAGCUUUUUUUAAGUUGUAGUCUCAAUCUAGUUAGACAGCACUUUAUUGGUAAUAACUAUAUUAAACAGUAGUUAU